GGGCCCGUGGGUUAGUCUGGCCAAUGCUUGUUGGUUUGGGACCAAUAGACCCAGGUUCAAAUCCUGGCGGGCCCACCA
rnacentral:tRNA from 3 species